rnacentral:pre_miRNA from 1 species
GAAGCGAUAAUGGGUGCACCCUCAACACGAAGUGCUGGCUUUUUGACGUUUUGCUACUAAAUGAAUAACCGUGCAGGUUAAAUUCACUAGCAGCAAGACGUCAAACAACCAGCACUUCGCCUUCAGGGCAACUAGUGUGUAUCGG